rnacentral:lncRNA from 1 species
CCCCAUCCUCUUCCUUUCGAUUUCUCGAUUCUCUGCCAUUCCGCUUUCAUUUUCUUCGGUGGAGAACCUGCAGCUCUUCUCUUCGGAAACUGAAGCUCACGCCAGCAUCUCCAGCGAAGACCACUCAUCUUCGGUCUUCCUUCGUGCCUUCAAAUCAGUUCACCGAAGGCAGCAUCAACUUUGGUCGGCCACUCACGCCAGCCUCUACCAAAAGUCAGCCACCGGCAGUCCAGCGAAACUGCCCCUCAUCCGCGCCACCUGCCCGCUCCUCCUUCUGCUUCGGUCAGCAAACGAAACCGCCGAAGCUCGAGUCCAACGUCUUCAGCCCGAGCAUAUCGUGGAGUCCACGAAGACCGAAGCCAGCUUCUAUUCGGUCAGCUUCUCUCCUUCAAUCACCAGCGUGGACUCCUCCCCUGCCAGUGAAGCCCCGCGCGGACUCAGCAAUUUCCUCAGAAUUGAAGCCCACGAAGACCGUUCGCCAGUCUUGCUCCCCUUCGGUCUUCACGCCACACCAUCACGUGGCCAACUCCACCGAGGUCUUGCGGUUGACCUCUGUAAUUUCCACCAACCUUCGUGUCUUCACCCAGCAUCAGCCGCAUCCGCUCCUUCCAAUUUGUUGAGUCAACCGAGCAAAUCCACUGCAGCUCACCUCAACCGCCGAAGGAAUUGAUUGGCUGAAGUCGCAGUACCCUCCAGCGAAGACCGAAGCAGGCCACGCAGAUUUCUCUUCGUGGAUUGCGGCCCAACUCUCAGCCCAGUGAAGACAAAAGUCUUCAGUCCAACUUCCAGUUUGCAUCUUGCUCAGCCCAGUUCAAUUUGUUUUAGCUCUCUUGAAGCCCAAUCCAAUCAAGCCCAGCAAGUUUUAUUUUUCAGCAAUUGUAGUCUUCAAGCCCAGUUUUUGAAGCCCAUCUUCGCAGCAGGCCCAAGCUAACUUGGGUUUAGCCCAAAAGCAGGAAUAAAUCUCAGUUGGACUGAGUCCAAGGCCCGGUCCAAGUCCGCCGGUGUUGUCGAAAGUUCGAUUUCGGCCGCCGUCGCGUCGCCGUUGCGGUGAUUCGAUCUCCGCUUUUGCCAAGUGAGUUUUACUCACUAAUGCUUUAUUAGUUUGCUAAUUAUGCCUUAGGGUUGGUUAGAUUUAAUUACAUGCACUUAGGUGGUUAGAUUAGGUUAGAACAAUUAAUUUAGUGAUUUAAUGAUGCAUGUUAGGUGGUUAGACCUAGCUAUUAGCAAGUAGAAAUGUUUGGUUAUUUAUUGAAUGCAUAUCGGGAUUUUUCCCGACCCGUUUCAGGCUCCAAUAAGGCAAUAUGGGCCUAAAUUGGAUUUUUUUAUUAUUUAUUUAUUUAUUUUCGAAAUUAAUUAAUUAAUUAUUUAUUUUUCCGGAAAUUCAACCGGGAUGGCUGGUGACCGGAAUUUCGUGCUGAUUGUCGUGGUGUAGCCCAUUUAUUUAUUUGAGCUCUACGUUGUGUGGAAUUGAAUUUAUUGUGAAAUUUUAGGAAUUGUCCUAAAUUGUUUGUUAUUGAAUAUUUGAUUGGUAAUGGCCAAGCAUGGGUAUAUAGCGCCAGUACGUUGAUGGGCUAUAUAAUAGGGAGAACGGUGACAGCUAACUGAGAAUGUUAUUGGCUGAGACCAAUCAGGUACGAUGUUAUUGGACAUACGUGGUUCGGUGAUUGGAAGUAUCACUGGCGAAAACGGCGCCUUAAAGAACGCACGUAAAUGACUUAUAGACAAACGUGGUUCGGUGGUUAUGGGAAUAUCACUGGUGAAAACGACGCCUUAAAGAACUCACGAUGUUGUCUAUAGCCGAUGUCACCUUGGCGAAAACGGCGCCCUUGAAAGGACACGUGGUUCGGUGAUCGAGGAUAUCACUGGUGAAAACGGCGCCUUAAAGAACGCACGGUGUCGGUGAUCGGUAUGUCAUUGGCGAAAACGACGCCCGAGAAACACAUGUGAUUUGGUGAAUGAGUACACCACUGGGAAAUCGUGGUAUGAGUGGGAAUGACCUAGAAAGGUUCUGGCUGACAUGUAAUCGACUUAGUCGAUUGACCAGUGCUUGAUCGAAUGUCGUGAAUUGUUUGAAUAUCUGUGUUUAACCUUGAAUUACAGGUUGGAACUGAGGCCAAGGUAAGUCCUCUGACUCGUGUUGUGCUUAGGCAACCGUAUGGCGUAUUAGUUUAUUAAUCGAGUCUUAGGGGGUAGGACUCGCUGAGACGUGGUCUCAUUGGUUAUUGAAUAGCCAUUUCAGGAACCUAAGGAGAAGCUAAGGAAGAGGAACCUGAAGGGGAGAAAGACUUUUGAAGAAGUUGAUGACCCAAGGAGGGAUUUUGAAUAUAACCCGGAUGUGGAUUGAGAUCCCAUCCCUUUUGUGAACCCUGUCUUAGCAUACAUAGGUGUGAGACAAGUAUGUUGUGAAUAGUAUUGUAAAUAUGCUAUGAGUUGUGCUGUUAAUGAAAGUGUGGUUAUGAAUUUCAAUAUGAAAAAUAUGGCCUACUUUCCUAUCCCAUUGUUUUAUUGUCUGGGGAUUUAUAACUGCUUCCGCAUGUGCUUAAAUAAAAAAAAGGGUCAGCGAUACAUAAUCCUGGGAUAUCGCAUUCUAA